GGAAACGACUGCUAAUACCCAAUAAGCCGAGAGGUAAAAGAUUUAUCGCUCGAAGAGGGGCUCGCGUCCGAUUAGCUAGUUGGUGGGGUAAAGGCUUACCAAGGCAGCGAUCGGUAGCUGGUCUGAGAGGACGAGCAGCCACACUGGGACUGAGACACGGCCCAGACUCCUACGGGAGGCAGCAGUGGGGAAUUUUCCGCAAUGGGCGCAAGCCUGACGGAGCAAUACCGCGUGAGGGAGGAAGGCUUUUGGGUUGUAAACCUCUUUUCUCAAGGAAGAACACAAUGACGGUACUUGAGGAAUCAGCAUCGGCUAACUCCGUGCCAGCAGCCGCGGUAAUACGGAGGAUGCAAGCGUUAUUCGGAAUUAUUGGGCGUAAAGCGUCCGCAGGUGGUGUUUCAAGUCUGCUGUCAAAGACCGAAGCUUAACUUCGGGUAGGCGGUGGAAACUGAAACACUAGAGUACGGUAGGGGUAGAGGGAAUUUCCAGUGUAGCGGUGAAAUGCGUAGAGAUUGGAAAGAACACCAGUGGCGAAGGCGCUCUACUGGACCGUAACUGACACUCAGGGACGAAAGCU
rnacentral:rRNA from 1 species